rnacentral:lncRNA from 10 species
GUGGUUUUAAGUGGUUUUAAGGCACAGGGAGAGACCAAGGCAAGUUUUAGAGCAGGAGUGAGAGUUUAUUAAAAAGUUUUAGAGCAGGAACAAAAGGAAGUACACUACACUUGGGUCAGGCAGGCAACUUGAGAGAUCUAAGUGCCCUGCCUGACCCUUAACUUGGGGUUUUAUGUAUUUGGCAUAGUUCUGGGAUUUACGUCUCAUCUCCCCUGAUUCUUCCCUUGCAGCAGGCUGUCCGCGUAUGUGGUGACCUGCCAGCACUUGGAAGGGGUCGCAUGCACAGUGUGAUUACUGAAGUUGCGCGCAUGCUCACUUGAGGCAUUUUUCCCCUUACCAGUCGUGCGUUCCCAGAGGAAGGUAGGUCAUAUACUGGUUAAAUUCCGCCAUUUUGCCUCUUGGUGCGCAUGCUCCAGGCUGCUUGCCCAGCUCCUGAGAUCUUAUCGGGAAGCGGCUGAUCACCAGAUCAGGGUGUUUUGUAUCUAUUGAGAGACUGUCCUUGCUUGGAGCUGGCUGCAACCAAUUAUUAUUUUACAGAGACAGUUUAACAACCACCUGACCAUCACCUGAUGGUAGCCUGACAUUCCUGUGGGGGCCCUCACCUGUCCUGCUCAUGUUUGCCUAGCUCCCUACUCUAACAUUUCCACUCUGUGGACCCCAGGUUGAGAUCUUCUGCAGGGAAGACUGUCCUCAAAUAGCCUGCUGGGGAGACAUCUCCUUCCCGUUUACCUUUCCAUUUGCCCUUGCGGUGUUAGGCAAAGGCUGAAGCUGGCCUCUGUGGCAGAGGGUUUCUUCCCAACACGCCAAUGACGCUGGUGGAGAGUCUUAAAAACAGCUGUGCUGGGGAGAGUUCUUGGUGUGUACCUUUCAGAGACCUCCUCCUUAAGACUCUCAAAGACUGAGUCAGGCCAGUGGGAGCCUGGCAGCAAUUCUUAGGGGACAGUGACAGCUUUUUGAGGAGGACUAAUUGGCUUCUAGGGCUGGAGGCCACUUGGGUCUGACAGACUGCCCUGCUGCCAUCCCUCCAGGGCACCCCCCACUCCCUUGCCUCAGGGCCUUCCUGCACUUCUUCCUUUUGUCCUCAAUGUUCUUCACCCCACCUUUUCCACUGGUACCCUCUGCCUAUGGUCAAGGCUUUGGUGAGACCCACUUUCCUCUUAGACCUUCCUGGAUCCCCCAAAGUCUGUGUUGGAAGCCCCUCCCAUGUGCCCUUGUUUGAGCUUUUAAUUUUCCACCAUGACGCUUGUCACACUGCUUUGUAAUUGGCUCUCUGUUAGUCUGCAUCUCUACUGGGUUGUACCUUCCAGGAGGACAGCUGCCAUGUGACUCUUGUAAUCUUCCCACCGCCAACACCCAGCACAGCGUCAGGAACACAGAGCAUGAUGAGCACAAGCUUGUUGAGCAAACAGACAAAUAACUGGAUGCUUCUGUGCAGAGUUUCUCAACCUGGCCAUUAUUGGCAUUUGGGACUUGAUCAUGCUUGGUCGUGGGAGACGGUUCUGUGCCUGUAGGAUGUUUAGGAGCAUGCUUGGUUUCUACCCACCAGAUGCCGGGAGCACACCCACCCAGCUGUGACAACCAAAAAUGUCUCCAGACACCAUUCCAAAACCAGCGGGAGACAAAAUCGCCCGACAGUCGUUGCUUUAGUGAGUGAAUGUUGACCUAAGCGUCACUUCGCCUGUCUUGAGUCUAGGUCGGGGAGUGGGUUCAGUUAGCCAAUCAGAGAACGCUGAUGGGGCGACCAGUAUAUGCUCAUGAAAUGGGUGGCUGACCUCUUGGGGUCAGAAGAGGGAAAAGUUUUACUGUGUGUUGGCUAAGGACCAUUUUAAGUCCUUCAGUGACCGAUUACCACAUGAGAACACAAGAGGGCGCUCUAACUAAUGAGUUCCGCGGCCGAGAAAACUCCUGGAGUGGGUGCUCCUGGGAUGCUUCAGGUUUAGACACCGGGGUUACGGCAGCUGCCGAGGAAGGCUAAAGCCAGCGUCCUGGAUUCAGACAGACCUUUUAGCCAUUAAAUCCACUAAGAAAGAUCCCUGCGCAUGAAGUUUCCUCCUCGGAAAUAUAGGCAGAAGGGAAAGUAAUUUUAAACUCAUGUGUGCUCCACAGGCCGGGGGCGGUGGCUCAUGCCUGCAAUCCCAGCACUUUGCGAGGCCAAGGAGGGAGGAUCACUUGAGCCCAGAAGUUCGAGACCAGCCUGGGCACCAUGGUGAAACCUCAUCUCUGCAAAAAAAAAAUUAAAAAUUAGCCAGCUAUGGCGGCUCACGCCUCUGGUCCCAGCUACCCAGGAAGCUGAGAUGGGAGGAUCGCUUGAGCCCAGGGGUUCGAGGCUGCGGUGAGCCAUUGUUGUGCCACUGCACUCCAGCCUGGGCAACAGAGCAAGCCCCUGUCUCAACAAAACAAAACAAAACAAAAAAUUCAGUCGUGCUGCAUAAGUAAGGCACCAGGAGUAGGAAUAGGGUCUUUGCAGCUCCCGUGGCAAUUGCCCUUCUCUGGUGGUGGCAAGGGACUAAGGAACUCCCUGGACACAGGGGAUCUGGCUGUCCCCAGAUCAUCAACAGAGACAUGAAGGUCGUUAGAGGUCGUCUGAUCCUUUGACCUCAAUCUGAGCCCACCACUCAGAAAACCUGGAAAUUGUAUGACAUUUUCGUGAUACAACUCGGUGUGUGUGUGUUGGGGAAAGGAACCAACAGCUUUCAUCAUAUUGUCAAAAGAGUCUAGGCUGGGCAUGGAAUACAUUUUUAAAAAUUAGUAAGAAACAUACACAUUUCAAGUUUUCAAUUAAGAAUAAUAUUUGCUGAUGGCACCAUCUUCCUGUCUUUCAGCCUUCAGCAUGGUAGAGGAAAAGAGAAAGAGUGUAGACAAAAACAGUUGAAGAACAUCUGUGCUUGUUCCACCUUCAUUUUCUGUUUUGUGCGUUGCCUGAAUGAACGGUGUCUUCAGGUUGGUAUUUCACAGGCGGUGCUCCCAAGUAGUCUGGUUUUCCCAUUUGUGGAGGGCGAGGUCAUAGAGGGGACAGGGGGAGGCUGUCUGGUCAGCACUGUGUAUUUCCAAAGAACAAGGACUAGCCAAAACUACAAGCCUUUGAAGGACCAAAGGAAAAGAGAAAAAACCAGCCUCUAACCAGGCCAUGCGCUAGAAAUGAUUGAGUAUAAAAAAGAAAAUUGGUUUCUGUGUAUGAGGGUGCAUGGAAAAGGUCUUUAUCUCUGCACAAAACAAAAUAUUCAAGUUUCAGAAUAUCCCAAUGGCCUUGCCCUGGAUCUCCUCUUGUGCUCUUCCAAUUUCCAAGGAUGUUCCAACUUGGUGGAAGGAGGGUAUGUGGGAAAUUCAACAGCCCCUCUGUAUCUCUUUCUACCCAACAUUAACUUAGCAGGAUGGAUUUAAGAACCGGCAGCUUAGCCUGAGGAAUUGCUGUGUUCUGUGGGAGCAGGGCAGGUUCAUAAAUAAGUGCACAGAGGUCUUGAAAUACAGGGAUUAUCUGUUCUUCUCGGAACAUGGAUGUCCUUCCAGGGAUGUGCAUCUGGCCUUGCUGUCUAAGUUCCAUCAAGGGAGCCUUCCGUUCUCUGUAGCGACAAGAAACAAGGCAAGUUAUGAUCACACCUCUCAAGAUUGAAGAUUGCCCUGGUGGAGAGAAAUGCAAAAUGACAGCACUUCUCAAAGAAAAUGCAAAGCAGGGCUGUCACACACUGGUCCCCCACCCUGCAGGGUUCUCUCUGUGACUUCAGAGGCCCAAGGAGUCCUCAGCACUACAGAUACACGUGGCCCCUCAGAAGACAACAUUUCACAGAUCUGCAAAGAAUAAAGGUCAAAUUUACUUAAUACAACACCCACCAGGGUUCCUGCAGCUGUGUCACUGAGGCAAACAGGGAAAGUAAUUUUGGUUAGGUGUGGUUCUCACCUCUGAAAUUCCACAGCACAAUGACUGCAGCCUCUCUCCCACCCACUCAAGACAUUGUCAGGAACGUCUUAAGACCUCAGGAGACCACUUCUUUAGCAAGCAAUUUUUUUUAGAUGGAUUCUCACUCUGUCACUCAGGCUGGAGUGCAGUGGCGCGGUCUCUGCUCACUACACCCUCCCUCUCCUGGCUCCUGCCCGUAUGUAUUUCUCCUUCUCUCCAUGCCUGCUCUGUAGGGACCAUAGCCUCUGUCCCUGCAUACAUGUUGGACAUCAAUCACAUCAGUCCACCAAGUAACUUCAUCAAGCACCCAUGUACGCCCAGCACAGCGUCCCAAGGGUGCCCCACUUACCCACAGAAGAAGAAAGGCAACUUUGUAAGAGAUCUGACUUCUAGCUCCAGUUCUGUCUCUAGCUAACGUGAGAUGUACCCGUUUGAGGCCUGUUUUUUAAUUUUGAAAAUGAAGGACUGAACUUAGAUGGUCCAACUGAAAUGUUUUAAAAUGAUAUGAUUCUACCUUAAAAAGAGAAUGAAAUUCUGAUAUAUUUUCAACACAGGAAAACCUUGAAAACGUUAUGCUAAAUGAAAUAAGGCAGACAUGAAAGGACAAAUAUAUGAUUCCACUUAUGUGAUGUACCUCAAAUAGUCAAAUUCAUAGAGACAGAAAGUAGACAGUGGUUGCUAGGGGUUGCUGGAGGGGCAAUGGGGAGUUAGUGUUUAAUGGGUACAGUGUUUCAGUGGCUGCUCUGCCUAUGGAGUAGCCAUUCUUUUGUUUCUUUACUUCUCUAAUAAACUUGCUUUCACUUAAAAAGAAAAAGCUCUGGAGAUGGAUAGUGGUGGUGGUUGCACAGCAAUGUGAACGGACCUAAUGCAACUGAAUUAUACACUUUAAAAUGGUUAAGUAUACACUGGAAAAUGGUGAAUUUGCCGGGCGGGCGCAGUGGCUCACGCCUGUAAUCCCAACACUUUGGGAGGCCGAGGCGGGUG